rnacentral:misc_RNA from 1 species
AAGUCGUAACAAGGUUUCCGUAGGUGAACCUGCGGAAGGAUCAUUAACACGUAUCCAAACGUUAAAACCCCCCCCGUGAACAUUCAUCCUGCUCUUGUAACCCGCGAAGCUUGCAAUCUCUGGUAAAUCAUAGCCCGGAAAGUAGUUUUGAUUCAGAGACCUCUGGCCCGUGAGAUUCUUUGAGACGUUACAAUUUUGAGCGGUAGUUCUAUAGGCCUUGUUUCCCCAAGCAGUCAGUGUCUGAGAACCAAGAUAUCCAUUGUUAACAGUUGUUCGGUUUUUUUACCCAAUGUAUUACAUUGAGCUUCACAUUAAACUGUGGGGUUGUAAGGGGGCAUGGGGACCCUUUGGCCUAGCUCCUGCCCGCGAGAUGCGGUCUACAAGAAUCGUGAAGCGUUAUCCUUGCACAAUCAAU